rnacentral:rRNA from 1 species
AUUCGAUGCAAACGCGAAGAACCUUGCCAAGGCUUGACAUGAACCGGUAAUACCUGGAGACAGGUGCCACGCUUGCGGUCGGUUUACAGGUGGUGCAUGGUUGUCGUCAGCUCGUGUCGUGAGAUGUUGGGUUAAGUCCCGCAACGAGCGCAACCCUCGUUCUAUGUUGCCAGCACGUGAUGGUGGGGACUCAUAGGAGACUGCCGGGGUCAACUCGGAGGAAGGUGGGGACGACGUCAAAUCAUCAUGCCCCUUAUGUCUUGGGCUUCACGCAUGCUACAAUGGCCGGUACAAAGGGUUGCGAUACUGUGAGGUGGAGCUAAUCCCAAAAAGCCGGUCUCAGUUCGGAUUGGGGUCUGCAACUCGACCCCAUGAAGUCGGAGUCGCUAGUAAUCGCAGAUCAGCA